rfam:Caenorhabditis remanei strain PB4641 contig1.37, whole genome shotgun sequence.
UAUUUCUGAGAUCCAGAGAGCCCAACUGUUUCUUUCCCCGGUAAUAAACUUCAACACGACUAUCACCGGGUAUGAAUCAGUUAGGCUCUUCUGGUAUCUU